rnacentral:rRNA from 1 species
CAGCACCUCAAGUGGUCAGGAUGAUUAUUGGGCCUAAAGCAUCCGUAGCCGGCUCUGUAAGUUUUCGGUUAAAUCUGUACGCUUAACGUACAGGCUGCCGGGAAUACUGCAGAGCUAGGGAGUGGGAGAGGUAGACGGUACUCGGUAGGAAGUGGUAAAAUGCUUUGAUCUAUCGAUGACCACCUGUGGCGAAGGCGGUCUACCAGAACACGUCCGACGGUGAGGGAUGAAAGCUGGGGGAGCAAACCGGAUUAGAUACCCGGGUAGUCCCAGCUGUAAACUAUGCAAACUCAGUGAUGCAUUGGCUUGUGGCCAAUGCAGUGCUGCAGGGAAGCCGUUAAGUUUGCCGCCUGGGAAGUACGUACGCAAGUAUGAAACUUAAAGGAAUUGGCGGGGGAGCACCACAAGGGGUGAAGCCUGCGGUUCAAUUGGAGUCAACGCCAGAAAUCUUACCCGGAGAGACAGCAGAAUGAAGGUCAAGCUGAAGACUUUACCAGACAAGCUGAGAGGUGGUGCAUGGCCGUCGCCAGCUCGUGCCGUGAGAUGUCCUGUUAAGUCAGGUAACGAGCGAGAUCCCUGCCUCUAGUUGCCACCAUUACUCUCAGGAGUAGUGGGGCGAAUUAGCGGGACCGCCGCAGUUAAUGCGGAGGAAGGAAGGGGCCACGGCAGGUCAGUAUGCCCCGAAACUCUGGGGCCACACGCGGGCUGCAAUGGUAGCGACAAUUGGUUUCGAAUCCGAAAGGAUGAGGUAAUCCACAAACGCUACCACAGUUAUGACUGAGGGCUGCAACUCGCCCUCACGAAUAUGGAAUCCCUAGUAACUGCGUGUCAUUAUCGCGCGGUGAAUACGUCCCUGCUCCUU